UCCCUGGUGGCUCAGCUGGGAGAGCGUCUGCCUGCAAUUCGGGAGGCCUGGGUUCGAUCCCUGGGUUGGGAA
rnacentral:tRNA from 1 species